UACAGAGGUCUCAAGCGUUGUUCGGAUUCAUUGGGCGUAAAGGGUGUGUAGGUGGCGCUGUAAGUCGGGGGUGAAAUCUCGGGGCUUAACUCCGAAACUGCAUUCGAUACUGCGGUGCUUGAGGACUGGAGAGGAGACUGGAAUUCAUGGUGUAGCAGUGAAAUGCGUAGAGAUCAUGAGGAAGACCAGUGGCGAAGGCGGGUCUCUGGACAGUUCCUGACACUGAGACACGAAGGCCAGGGGAGCAAACGGG
rnacentral:rRNA from 1 species